AUUGAACGCUGGCGGCAGGCCUAACGCAUGCAAGUCGAGCGGAUGACGGGAGCUUGCUCCUUGAUUCAGCGGCGGACGGGUGAGUAAUGCCUAGGAAUCUGCCUGGUAGUGGGGGACAACGUUUCGAAAGGAACGCUAAUACCGCAUACGUCCUACGGGAGAAAGCAGGGGACCUUCGGGCCUUGCGCUAUCAGAUGAGCCUAGGUCGGAUUAGCUAGUUGGUGGGGUAAUGGCUCACCAAGGCGACGAUCCGUAACUGGUCUGAGAGGAUGAUCGGUCACACUGGAACUGAGACACGGUCCAGACUCCUACGGGAGGCAGCAGUGGGGAAUAUUGGACAAUGGGCGAAAGCCUGAUCCAGCCAUGCCGCGUGUGUGAAGAAGGUCUUCGGAUUGUAAAGCACUUUAAGUUGGGAGGAAGGGCAGUAAGUUAAUACCUUGCUGUUUUGACGUUACCGACAGAAUAAGCACCGGCUAACUCUGCGCCAGCCGCCGCCGUAAUAC
rnacentral:rRNA from 1 species